AGCCCUGGCAGUCAGGUGAAGGCCCUGGCAACAGAAAAGGGGAAACAUUGCACCCAUUUUUAAAAAGGGUAAAAAGGAGAACGCUGGGGACUACCAACCUGUCAGCCUCUCCUCUUUGCUGGGAAUGAUGGAACAGAUCCUCCUAGGAGCUAUGCUAAGGCAGAUAGAGGACAGGGAGGAAUUCAGAUUUCCCUGAAAUCUUUGUCUCUGGUGGAACGUACAGUGAUAGGAUGUAACAAGCAAAGGUGAAAAAGCAGAGGACACCUGAAUAACUUCACUAUUGGAGAGGAGCCAUGGCCUGCCUGCCCUGGUAAUGGUAGCGCUGCCUUGCAAAUUCUGUGGCUACAGUACAGCUACACAAGGAUGAGAGAGCAGAGAAAACUAUGUCAUACAUCACUCAGUGGAGAAUCUGCUGCUGAUUAAGAGCCAUUGGAACAUUUAUGGAAGAAAAAAAUCCCCAGCAAGGCUCAUUAGCUCAGACAUAGUGCUAUGCUAACAGCUGGCACACAGCUGGCUAACUUUUGCAUGAGCAGAGCAGCUGUACGUCUAUCUACAAAAUGAUGCAGCAACACCACAAUUAUACUGGAAGGAAAAAAAAAACAAAACACUGAAGGAACUAGAAGACAUACACGCAUUGAGUUGUGGGUGCAAAAGCUCUUUCUGAGUUCCCUACUGGAACAGAAUCAAGGUCCUUCUAAUUUGGCAGGCUGUCUCUCGUGAUGGUCAGAUUGAGAGGCUUCAAAGGAAGACUGAAGAAUUGCAUGCUAUAAUUAUGGCAGAUAAUCAUCCCAAUAAAACUGCUGAGGGUAUUGUUGUAUCCUGAAGUUUAACUGUCCUCAAAAUUGUGUUGGCAGUGACCAUUGUCAACAUUUUGUGAUUUCUUCAUCAUUAUGUGAAUAUUCAAAUCUUUCUGGAAUUUCGCUUAGUCUUUGGCCUCAGUAGCAACAUGUACAAAUGCAUUUCAUAGUUCAAUUAUACACUGUGUGACAAGAUUUUCACACACGGAUUUGAAUCAGUUUCUUUUCAGUUUUACAGAAUAUCUUUCUCAUUAUAUAUGGCAAGAGAAGUAUAACUUCUAAACUAUUCCCUUUUAGACUAUUCUGUAGGUUUGAGGGUUUGUUGAUGGGGGUGGUUUUUUGGUCAUGUGUUUGCUUUUAAGUGUUCCUAUGACAUAUGAACAUAUGUUCAUAUGACUCAUAUGACUCUCCUUCAUAAAGGAAACUUUGGUGUUUUAAGUUUUUGAUGAGUGAUCUUAUGAUAUCCCAAGAUAGUCAUUGAUUCUUUUCUCCGGUUCCUGAACCUGUAAUGAAAUCUGGCAAUACUCUUUUUGUGAUGGGUUGACAAACACUUCAGCAAAUCUCUUAGAUAAGGUCAUACAGUAUUAUAAUAUUGGUAUUAUCUUAUUUCCCAGUAUUGACCUCCAUUAAAUCCUCUAUCCAUCCUCUCAAAAUUGCUAGCUUUUCUGAACAGUGGACUGAGAAGGUACCUUCAGCUAUAUGUUCCUAAGUGUUCUCAGGUUUGCCAUCUAACUUCUACUUAACAGUUCAACAAUAAGGGAGCAAACCCUUAACCCAGCUCCAUGCUGCACUCUGUCAAUUUGCUCAAUAUGGUUGAAUCCUAUAUUAUAGCUACAUUCGAAUUUCAAAAUGUUUUAACAACAGAUUUGUACAUAUUCAAAAGAAUGAAAAGUUCAGAUGUUACUUGGAAGUACCUAUCACAUCUACAGGGACACCUGUGGACCGAGAUGAAUAUUCAACAAAGCAUAUUGGAUAAAAGUUACCAUAUAAAAUAAGUCAUUAAAACCCUAAAAUACCUAAAAAUCCAUAGAAGAUAAUAAAUAAACAAAAUUAAACCUUGAAAAGAAUAGGAGGAGGACAGCUCAGGGAAAAUAAAGGCAUUCUUCAUAAAAGGUGAACAUUUUUAGUGACUCAGUUAACAGGAAACAAAAACUAAGCUGUUUUGAGGGAUUAUUACUCACAUAAUAGGAUAGUUCAAGGGCAAUUACACAAAAGCUUUCAAAACAAUCUUUUCCAAAGUGUACCAAGGAACUUAACAAGAUCACUGCAAAUUUUUUUAUCUUCUUUAAUUCAAAUACACAAGAUAAAAAAUUGCAUUUGGAAAAAAAUGCAGUGAUAACCUGCUGGGUUUUGUUCCUCAUAUCAAAGUGAUUAUCACUUGUGGAGACUUGAAGCUUACUUUUUCCAUCCAACAACAAAUCUGCCAUGAACCAAGAGAACUACGUAAACAGAUGGGAUUUUACAUUCCCUUCCUUCAUUCUGCACCACGUCACAGUGAAGUCCAUUUAAUUCCGUGAGAAUCAUGAUUUUCCUAGGUUUUUUUCAUCUCAAUCUUCCUUUCCAAAAUGCAGCUUCAUAUGGUCUGAACAGGUGCUGUAUGAUUUCUGCAUCCCCAAUAGCAAGUAUCUGCUUCCAAAUCUCAAGUGUUAAAGCCAAGCAGCCCAGUUCUGGGAGUGGCAUUUCUUUUUAUGCCCCACAGGAUUAGGAUGCCAAGGUUUUAUACCCUGUACAGAGUAAUUCGCUCUAUAAAGAAAUGAAUCAUUACCCUGUCUUCUCAAUACUUUUCAGAAAAUUUAUGUUUGUUUUUUUGGCAAACAUGUUUUAUGGACAACUGUAAAACAUCUAUGGGUAACAGCUACAGAGCUUGCAACAGCGAAGAAUUAAGUCACUGCUACCCCUGGAGUGCUAAUGAGGUAAAAAUGUGCUGAAUUUUCUUACUUCCGUUGAAAAACACAUAUUAUGCUUGCUACAGGUGCACAAUGCUAAUUUGCUUUUUGGGCAAACUGUGCUCAAUUUGCAUAAUUUUAAGAUCCAGAAACUUGCACGCAUCAGGAAAAUCUGUGUGUUUCCCUGCCUCUAACAUUAAGUCAUUGAAUAACUAAGAAUCAAUAUCAGCUCAGAACCAGGAGGAAAGCCCUACUGGAGUCCUGCAUUAGCU